ensembl:lncRNA
AAAUAACAAUAAUAACAAUAAAAACAACAAUAAAAGCAACAAUAAAAACAGACAUAGCCCCGAGUUUUUCACCCAUUGGAAGCUUGUCAGAAGCUUGUUUUGCAGGCUUUCCGAAAGGCAAGUAGGUCUCGGAUAGUUCCAGUUUCGAUUUAGAUUUUGACUGGGCCAUGAUGGUGGGUACAAUUCAAAGUCAAAUAUCAGUGACAGAGGUAAAUGAUCACUUUCUACCCUAUUUUCGACUGCAAAACUUUGGAUGUCUGGGAGCAGGUUGGCAGAGGCCGCCAUGUAAUCUAUUGUGCUAGCUCCUCUGUUAGUGGCAUAGGUGUAGGCACCCUGCGUUCUAUCAUAUUGGGUUCCAUUAAGACACUGCAAAUUGACGAAGGGGAGGAGGACGCCAUGUCAGAACCCUGCUACUAGAGCCUGGAUGUGGCUCUGAGUUUCAGGGUCACUGACAUUGAUAAGACACCUGCGGCUCAGGACUCGGAGAAGAAACGGCUGCUGGACUUGGCGGGGAAUCUGCGCGGGGUUUUGCUGAGCGGGAAGAGACUUUUCAAAUGAGGGGGAGGGUAUAUAAAGGAUGGUUGGCCGGAGCCUCCCAUUCUUGGCUUUUCUGAUGUUUAUGUUUCCUGCAGUAAAGUUUCUGGUGAUACCACAGAGAGUCUCGUGUGUUCAUUCAGGAGCGGCUGUAGUGAGCUGACACACACACACACACACACACACACACACACACACACACACACACACACAUAUAUAUAUAUAUAUAUAUAUAUAUAUAUAUAUAUAUAUAUAUAUAUAUAAAAACACACAUACAUACAUACAUACACACAUUUAACAAUAAAACAUUAUAUAUAGUUAACAUUACACAGGUCAAACCAAGAGGUUACAACAAUAUAAUAAUAAAUAAACCACCUAAUAAGAACAAGAUAAUAAAAAGGCAGGGCAGUGGAGCAGAUCUUAUCUGAUCUUGCAGGCUAUGGAGGGUCAUUUCUAAUUAGUAUUUGAAUGGGAAACCACCAAUGAAUACUGGGUUCUGUAGGCUAUAUUCCAGAGGAAGGCGAUUCCAAAUCCACCUCUGUGUAUUUCUUGCUAAGAAAAUCUUGUAAAAUUUAUUGGGUCACCAUAAAUCAACAGGCAACUUGAAGACAUACACACAGACACAAUUUAACAGUCCUGAAUGAAUGGACCCUCAUGUGUAAGUAGCAAUUCAUGUAUAAUCACUAGCAUGGACAACCCAGACACUGGGCCAAUAAUACACCUAGUAUGCUGGAAUUGGGCCAAUGGCACAUUACCUUGACCUUUAUUUAUUUAUUUGCUAUACUUAUAUUCCGCUCUCUCUUACCCCAACGGGUGCUCAGAGUGUCUUACAACAUGGCAAUAUUCAAUGCUGCAUACAAUCAAAUCAAUAAAAAGCAAUACGUCAUGUAUAAAAUUACAAAUAAAAACAUAUAAACGCAAUAAAACUGCUAAAACCAUAAUACCAAAUCUAGGAGUCAUCCUUUGUGUUGAUACAGAUAUAUAUUGCACCACCCAACGCCUAUCCAAAUGCCUGAUCCCAUAAUCAGGUUUUCACUCUUUUCCUCAAAACCAGGAGGGAGAGGGCCAGUCUGAUAUCACUAGUUCCAUAGCCACCACUGAGAAGGCCCCAUCUCUCGUCCCCACCAGCCUCACUUGCAGUGGGGUGGGACCAAGAGCAGGGCCUCCUGUGUAGAUCUUAACUCUCUAACUGGUUCAUAAAGAGAGAUUCGUUUGGACAGGUUGUUAUAUAUACAAUUUAUAAAGAGGUUUCAAUAGGUUGUACAUUCCUUUAGGUUGCACUGGUCUCAUGUCUCAGUUUAGACAAAUUCUGGUACUUUGAAAGGCGAAAACAGAUCUUUGAGAGGUUGGAUAGUGCUGAGUAGGUUGAGAGCAUGGAAAAGUUACUUUUUGGAACUAGAACACCCAAAAUACACCAGUCAGUGUGACCAGUAGCUAAGACCAUGCUGGCUACGGGAUUCAGGGUUAAAUCUAGGGCAAGUGGGUCUAUUGUGUCCCUCCAGCAUCAUGAAUAACUUUUCUGUAGGCACAAGGGAUGAGUAAAAAAGAUUGACAAAACUAUCAGUUUAACUCGAAAAAGCAGAAUCACAUUAUCUUAAGGCAAAGUGACCUUUGAAUACAUCCCAAUGACUUGGUAAAUGCCUAUUUAAUAUUAUCUCUGUUAUAUUUCUCUUUGUGUUGUAAGGCAAGCUGUUCACCUGGUUGUUUUUAUUAGCCAUAAAACGAGAAAGAGAAAGGAUAGAUUAGAAAACAGACAGGAAUUUGAUUACAUUGAAAAGAUUCCUGCACAAACUGUUGAUUUUUUUUAAAAAAAUGUGGGUCUCCCCCUUAAUGGGCUCAUGUUCUAUAAAUGAUCUUGUUGCUAUAGCAACUACCUCAAAAGCCACACCAUGUUGUUAGUGCUGUAACAGCCUUGCACCUGUGUUCCAGUAUUUCUUUCUGCCAUUGAUGGUUAUACUUCGAAGCCAGUUAUCUCUAUGUAUGCGAAAGACAAAAAAAAAUGAUUUAGAAAAAAAAAUAAAGAAUUAUUUCAGCUUUAUUUUCCUCAUAGCAUCCUAAUAACAGCUUGCCUUUAUUUUCUUCUGUGAUUAAAUGUGUGUAAUUUGAGAUGUGAAGAAUUGGCUGGGUGUUCUGUUGAAAUAACCUGAUUGUAAAGUCAAUUUAAAAAAUAAACUAGCACCAGGACAUCUUGUCAACUGCAGACCUAUCUCUCUGACAUGACUAAAAUCCUAGUGGUAGUUCAGAGUAGAAGGAGCCCCUGGUGGCGCAGUGGAUUAAACCACUGAGCUGCUGAACUACCUGACCGAAAGGCCAGUGGUUCAAAUCCGGGGAGCAGAGUAAGCUCCCACUGUAAACUCCAGUUUUUGACAACCUAGCAGUUUCAAAACAUGCAAAUGUGAGUAGAUCAAUAGGUACUGCUCCGGUGGGAAGGUAAUGGGGCUCCAUGUAGUCAUGCCAGCCACAUGAUCUUGGAGGCGUCUACAGGCAAUGCCGGCUCUUCGGCUUAGAAAUGGAGAUGAGCACCAAGCCCAAGAGUCAAACAUGACUGGACUUAAUGUCAGGGAAAAACCAUUACUAACCUUUACCUUAGUUCAGAGUAGACCCAUAGAGCCAGCAAUUGAAAUAUGAAUUAAAACAUACGUAGCCCCAUUGAUUCAAUGGGUCAACUCUAGUUGGGACAACCAAAAUAUUAGUGAAUUAGCAUGUUUUUGUGUUUUGCUGCUUUAAAGUAAUGUGGCUAAUUGAUAUUUUGCUAAUAUGAACAAUAUCCUUCCCUCUUUGUCAGGGGUGCAUUCUUUCCAGUUGUGGUGAGGCACUAGAGCUGCACCAACUUUGGGACAGGCACUACUGUUGACAAAAUUCAACUGCCAUAGUUAUGUUCACCACAAUAGUGGUGACUCCUUGAUGGUGCUCAGCCCUGAAGACUGAAUUAGAAUUACAGAAUCAUAGAAUAGUUGGAAGAGACCACAUAGUCCAACUUCUGCAAUGCAGGAAAAGCACAAUUGAAGUAUAUCUGACAGAUCGCCAUCCCGACUCUGUUUAAAAGCUGCCAAGAAAGGAGUUUCUGCCGCACUCCGAGGAAGAGAGUUCCACUGCCAAACAACUCGUAUGGUCAGGAAGUUAUUCCAAUUGUUCAGGUGAAAUCUCCUUUCCUGUACUUUAAACCCAUUGCUCCGAGUCCUAGUUUCCAGGGCAGCAGAAAACAAGUCUGCCCCCUCUUCCUUAUGGCAUUCUUUCACAUACUUAUACAUGGCUAUCAUGUCUCCUCUCAACCUACUCUUCUGCAGGCUAAACAUAUACUCCUCAUAGGGCAUGGUCCCCAGACCUUUGAUCAUUUUAGUCACUCUCCUAUGGACACCUUCCAGCUUGUCAAUAUCUCUUUUGAAUUGUAGUGCCUAGAACUGGACACAGUAUUCCAUGUGAGGCCUGACCA